rnacentral:lncRNA from 1 species
UUAUUUGCUUGAAUGGCAACCCAAGGUGAUCGUUAUUGUCUAAAAACAAAAUGAAGAUGGAAUAAUAAUAAGAAUUUCACAUCCCAAUUUCGAACAAGCUGAAUCAUCAACAUAUUACAUGAAAUUUGACUGUGAUCUUGCAAUGACAAUGAAAACCUCGUAUAAUUUAGCAAGUUUUGUGACUUGUCAAACCAUAAAUUCAUUGGUUGUAUCAUAGUUCUUCAAGAACACAAAUGCCUCGCUUGAAAUCUAAAAGACAAUGCACUAGAAAAAUGUAAUACAACACUGAGAUUCUGAAAGAAGGACUAAGCUAAACAUAAAACCAAUUUUAACUAGAUCUAAAGAAAAAAAUGUGGCACACCUUGAUCCUUGCUCUAAAAAAGCAGAUAUUUAGUAAAUAGAAAACAAACUCAGAAGCUAUGGCAUUGAACACCAAUUCAAUAUUCAUGCAUGAUUCAAAUCCAUAUUAUAGUAGCCUUAGAUAUCUCACUCAGUACAUAUUAAAUAUUCAAAACAAUACAACCUCGAAUCAAUUGCAUUUAAGCAAGUCCAAAUACUAACCUUAACACAAAUAAGUAUUGACUACAUAUGAAGGGCUACACUAAGAUGGACAUCAGACCAAGCUACCAUGUCAUAUGAUAUUCAGGAGCUAAGUCUUUGAUCACAUAUUCAUAGUUUUAAAGGAAGUAAGUGAAAUAUUCUAAAUAAAAACAAAGUAGACGAGUAAGCUAAACUAUGAACCCAACUAAUGGUGAAUAUAACAAGAAACUCUAGAUUUUCAUUUUUGAUUCCAAAUCAAGCUUUAAAUUUAGGUAGAAUCACGAAGACAUGUGUACCCGAAUAACAGCAAAAAGUACAAAAAUAAUAGUUUGAAACUUAAGAGGAAGCCUCAGUAAUAGAUUAGUAGCAACAGAAACAACCCACAUCUCUUAAUUCAAACCACUUUUAAACAAAGAUGAGCCAGAAUAACAUUCAAAAAGAAAAAAAACUUCAAGAAUUAAAGAAGAUUUUAAUGGAACAACAAUCUUCAUUAUUUCUAGACGUUUUUGACUUUCUCCCGAUCUGAUCUCCCUAUUCUUUUGGAGAGUGAGACUUUAUAGAGUGGUGUUAGGGCAGCAAAUACACCUUUCAAAUUUUUCUCUUUUCCCCUUGUGAAAUUUUUAUUACUGCUUAGAUAUCCCUUGUUAAAACUAGUUCAGAAAUGUUCCCUUUUUCAUCUUCCUAGAAGCUUCAUGAUUAUUUAUUACAAAUAUUCCCUUACCUAGACUACCCAAAAUACCCCGUACUAAACCUAUUUUUACUGUAGGAAGGUCACGAGUCAAAAGAUACAAUGGUUAAACUAGACCAAGGAUAAAUAAAUCAAUUCAUAUUUCUUUGGAAUGAAUGAUGAAACUAAUUCAUGGCCUAAACAUCACACAAUUUCAUCAACCCCAAUCUAAAUUAAAGGGCUAAAUUUAAACUAAACAACCAAACAAACAAAUUGAACACAGAAAUUAACUAAGCUGUUAACAAACGAAUUUAAACAGAACAAGCAAGAAAACUUGUAGAACAAAACUUGGAAAUGAACACAUAAAAAUGAACUAAGCUGUUAACAAACGAAUUUAAACAGAACAAGCAAGAAAACUUGUCGAACAAAACUUGGAAAAGUAAGGUUAAAAGAACAAAGCAGACAAUAAUCAAUCCUAUUUAAAACAUGUUCCAAAUUUUAAAUUGUGUAACUUAAAAGAAAGAGAGGAAGAGGAAAAGGAAAGGAACAAAAGCUGAGAAAUUGAAUAAUAAAUAGAAAUAAAUGAAGGCACUCAUUCCCAGAUUUCCAUUUUUGAUUCCAAAUUAAGCUUUAAAUUUAGGUGGAAUCAUGAAGACACGUGUACCCGAAUAGCAACAAAAAAUACCAAAAAAUUAGUUUGAAACUUAAGAGGAAGAAGCAGUAAUAGAUCAGUAGCACAGGAACAAGCCACAUCUCUUAAUUCAAAACCACUUUCAAACAAAGAUGAACCAGAAUAACCUUCAGAAACCUAAAAACAUCAAGAAUUAAAGAAAAUUUUAAUGGAACAACAAUCUUCGUUAUUUUUAGCCGUUUUUGACUUUCUCUCAAUCUGAUCUCCAUAUUAAUUUGUAGAGUGAGACUUUAUAGAGUGGUGUUAGGCAGCAAAUACACCUUUCAGAUUUUUCUCUUUGCCCCUUGUGAAGUUUUCAUUAUUGCUUAGAUAUCCCUUGUUAAAACUAGUCCAGAAAUGUUCCCUUUUUCAGCUUCGUAGAAGCUUCAUGAUUAGUUACUCAAAGAUUCCCUUACCUAGACUACCCAAAAUACCCCUUACUAAAUCUGGUUUUACUGUAGGAAGGUCAUGAGUCAAAAGAUACAAUGGUUAAACUAGGCCUGAGCUAAAAAAAUCAAUUCAUAUUUCUUUGGAAUGAAAUAUGAAACUAAUUCAAUACCUAAACAUCACACAAUUUCAUCAACCCCAAUCUAAAUUAAAGGGCUAAAUUUAAACUAAACAACCAAACAAACAAAUUGAACACAGAAAUUAACUAAGCUGUUAACAAACGAAUUUAAACAGAACAAGCAAGAAAACUUGUAGAACAAAACUUGGAAAAGCAAGGUUAAAAGAACAAAACAGACAAUAAUCAAUCCUAUUUAAAACUUGUCCAAAUUUUAAAUUGUGUAACUUGAAAGAAAGAGAGGAAGAGGAGAGGAACAAAAGCUUAGAAAACAUAAUAAUAAAUAGAAAGAAAUGAAGGCACUCACUGACUCAGGCUCGAGCUCGACUGACCUUCCAAUUUAAACCGCAAAACAAUAUUAAUCAUCUGUUCUUUGUGAGAGCUAUAAAAAGUAGAGCCAUUUCUCAAAAGAAGUGUGUCCUUAAUUUGAUGAAAACAAGGAUGUAGAGAAUAACAUCAUUUUGUGAUAAAGUCGGCCUUGAAAGUUCAUAAACACUAGAGAGGUACCCUUGCAUGAAGGAAUACCAACUUUGGCUUUUAGGACUUGAACACUAGAUCUAGGAUUUGAGAAGUUUCAGCCAGAUUUAAGGGGAAUGAAAUGGGGAUUUGGAAUGAGGGAGCUUUAGAGGUUGUGUGGUGUUGAUUUCGAUGUGGUUGGAGCUCCGCAGCAGCCAGAAAUGACGAGGAGAUUGAAGGCGGUGCUAGGAUUUUCGGGUUCUCUGAUGAAAGAGAUGAGAGAGAGAGAGAGAGAGAGAGAGAUGAAAGGCUUUUUUUGGAUGAGGU